UUGCAUUUUAGGAUACAACAUUUUGACCAACAACUAUUAAUAAGAACAUAAAAUAUGUAAACAGCAACUAAGAAUAAAUCUAAACCUGAAAGGCACAACUUUAUAGUAUAAUUGUCUAUUGACUAUUAUCAUUACACCAUAUCAAUUCUUAGAAAUUCUUAGAAAUAUGGAAGAAAAGAAAAUAGCAAUCUGACAUCCUGUAACAUCGUUAAACCACAGCAUGAGUCUUUAAGAUCACUCAUGUUUAACACCUUGAAUCCAGUUCGGACAAGCCUAAAACACAAAACCAGAAUUACAUUUUACAAUAUCUCUUAUGAGAUUCAGUUAUUGAGUGAGUACCU
rnacentral:misc_RNA from 1 species